rnacentral:rRNA from 1 species
AGAGUUUGAUCCUGGCUCAGAGUGAACGCUGGCGGCGUGCCUAACACAUGCAAGUCGAACGAUGAUAGGAAGCUUGCUUCCUUGAUUAGUGGCGCACGGGUGAGUAUACCAUAGAUAAUGUACCUCUUAGUUCGGGAUAGCCACUGGAAACGGUGAUUAAUACCGGAUACUCCUUCUCGUUAUAAGGCGAGUCGGGAAAGUUUUUUCGCUAAGAGAUCAGUCUAUGUCCUAUCAGCUAGUUGGUGAGGUAAUGGCUCACCAAGGCUAUGACGGGUAUCUGGUUUGAGAGGAUGAUCAGACACACUGGAACUGAGACACGGUCCAGACUCCUACGGGAGGCAGCAGUGAGGAAUAUUGCACAAUGGAGGAAACUCUGAUGCGGCAACGCCGCGUGGAGGAUGACGCAUUUCGGUGUGUAAACUCCUUUUAAGAGGGAAGAUAAUGACGGUACCUCUUGAAUAAGCACCGGCUAACUCCGUGCCAGCCGCCGCGGU